UAACACAUGCAAGUCGAGCGGAAACGAGUUAUCUGAACCUUCGGGGGACGAUAACGGCGUCGAGCGGCGGACGGGUGAGUAAUGCCUAGGAAAUUGCCCUGAUGUGGGGGAUAACCAUUGGAAACGAUGGCUAAUACCGCAUGAUGCCUACGGGCCAAAGAGGGGGACCUUCGGGCCUCUCGCGUCAGGAUAUGCCUAGGUGGGAUUAGCUAGUUGGUGAGGUAAGGGCUCACCAAGGCGACGAUCCCUAGCUGGUCUGAGAGGAUGAUCAGCCACACUGGAACUGAGACACGGUCCAGACUCCUACGGGAGGCAGCAGUGGGGAAUAUUGCACAAUGGGCGCAAGCCUGAUGCAGCCAUGCCGCGUGUGUGAAGAAGGCCUUCGGGUUGUAAAGCACUUUCAGUCGUGAGGAAGGUAGUGUAGUUAAUAGCUGCAUUAUUUGACGUUAGCGACAGAAGAAGCACCGGCUAACUCCGUGCCAGCAGCCGCGGUAAUACGGAGGGUGCGAGCGUUAAUCGGAAUUACUGGGCGUAAAGCGCAUGCAGGUGGUUUGUUAAGUCAGAUGUGAAAGCCCGGGGCUCAACCUCGGAAUUGCAUUUGAAACUGGCAGACUAGAGUACUGUAGAGGGGGGUAGAAUUUCAGGUGUAGCGGUGAAAUGCGUAGAGAUCUGAAGGAAUACCGGUGGCGAAGGCGGCCCCCUGGACAGAUACUGACACUCAGAUGCGAAAGCGUGGGGAGCAAACAGGAUUAGAUACCCUGGUAGUCCACGCCGUAAACGAUGUCUACUUGGAGGUUGUGGCCUUGAGCCGUGGCUUUCGGAGCUAACGCGUUAAGUAGACCGCCUGGGGAGUACGGUCGCAAGAUUAAAACUCAAAUGAAUUGACGGGGGCCCGCACAAGCGGUGGAGCAUGUGGUUUAAUUCGAUGCAACGCGAAGAACCUUACCUACUCUUGACAUCCAGAGAACUUUCCAGAGAUGGAUUGGUGCCUUCGGGAACUCUGAGACAGGUGCUGCAUGGCUGUCGUCAGCUCGUGUUGUGAAAUGUUGGGUUAAGUCCCGCAACGAGCGCAACCCUUAUCCUUGUUUGCCAGCGAGUAAUGUCGGGAACUCCAGGGAGACUGCCGGUGAUAAACCGGAGGAAGGUGGGGACGACGUCAAGUCAUCAUGGCCCUUACGAGUAGGGCUACACACGUGCUACAAUGGCGCAUACAGAGGGCGGCCAACUUGCGAAAGUGAGCGAAUCCCAAAAAGUGCGUCGUAGUCCGGAUUGGAGUCUGCAACUCGACUCCAUGAAGUCGGAAUCGCUAGUAAUCGUGGAUCAGAAUGCCACGGUGAAUACGUUCCCGGGCCUUGUACACACCGCCCGUCACACCAUGGGAGUGGGCUGCAAAAGAAGUAGGUAGUUUAACCUUCGGGGGGACGCUUACCACUU
rnacentral:rRNA from 1 species